rnacentral:tRNA from 1 species
GCCUACGUGGUGUAGUGGUCAACACGUUGGACACGUAUUCCAGAGGUCCGUGGUUCUAGUCCCGGGGAAAGCG